rnacentral:rRNA from 1 species
UACGUAGGGGGCAAGGCGUUGUCCGGAUUUAUUGGGCGUAAAGAGCGUGUAGGCGGCUUGGUAGGUCCGCUGUGAAAACUCGAGGCUCAACCUCGAGAUGUCGGCGGAAACCACUUGGCUAGAGUCCGGAAGAGGAGAGUGGAAUUCCUGGUGUAGCGGUGAAAUGCGUAGAUAUGUGGAGGAAUACCGAUGGCGAAGGCAGCCCCCUGGGAUAACACUGACGCUCAUGCACGAAAGCGUGGGGAGCAAACAGG